GAACGCACAUUGCACCCCUUGGUAUUCCGGGGGGUAUGCCUGUUCGAGCGUCAUAUCAACCAUCAAGCCUGGCUUGGUCUUGGACGUCGCCUAUGGGUGAGUCUCAAAACAAGUGGCGGUGCCACCCAGCCCCGAGCGUAGUAAGUUUCUCUCGCUCUGGGAGGUGGGUGUUAUGCCUGCAGAACCCUCAUGCUUAAGAUUUUGACCUCGGAUCAGGUAGGGAUACCCGCUGAACUUAAG
rnacentral:misc_RNA from 1 species